CAGUAGCCGCGGGAAAACGUAGGGUGCGAGCGUUAAUCGGAAUUACUGGGCGUAAAGCGUGCGCAGGCGGUUUUGUAAGACAGGCGUGAAAUCCCCGGGCUCAACCUGGGAAUGGCGCUUGUGACUGCAAAGCUAGAGUGCGGCAGAGGGGGAUGGAAUUCCGCGUGUAGCAGUGAAAUGCGUAGAUAUGCGGAGGAACACCGAUGGCGAAGGCAAUCCCCUGGGCCUGCACUGACGCUCAUGCACGAAAGCGUGGGGAGCAAACAGGAUUAGAUACCCCCGUAGUCCCUGUCUCUUAUAC
rnacentral:rRNA from 1 species